UUUCCGUAGGUGAACCUGCGGAAGGAUCAUUAAAGAACGCCCCGUUUUUUGAAAUGGGUAAUUCUGAACCGUGUAUACAUACCUUUGUUGCUUUGGCAGGCCGCCCCUCAGGGCGUCGGCUCCGGCUGACUGCGCCUGCCGGAGGACCCAAACUCUUUUGUUUAGUGAUGUCUGAGUACUAUAUAAUAGUUAAAACUUUCAACAACGGAUCUCUUGGUUCUG
rnacentral:misc_RNA from 1 species